rnacentral:rRNA from 1 species
CCUACGGGUGGCAGCAGUGGGGAAUAUUGCGCAAUGAGCGAAAGCCUGACGCAGCGACGCCGCGUGAGGGAUGAAGGUCUUCGGAUCGUAAACCUCUGUCAGCAGGGCAGAACGGUCACUGUGCUAAUCAGCAGUGCAUUGACGGUACCUGCAAAGGAAGCACCGGCUAACUCCGUGCCAGCAGCCGCGGUAAUACGGAGGGUGCGAGCGUUAAUCGGAAUUACUGGGCGUAAAGCGCUCGUAGGCGGUAUGUCAAGUCAAGGGUGAAAUCCCCGGGCUCAACGUGGGAACUGCCUUUGAAACUGGCAAACUGGAGUGUGUGAGAGGAUAGUGGAAUUCCAGGUGUAGGAGUGAAAUCCGUAGAGAUCUGGAGGAACAUCAGUGGCGAAGGCGACUAUCUGGCACAUAACUGACGCUGAGGAGCGAAAGCGUGGGUAGCAAACAGGAUUAGAUACCCCUGUAGUC